ensembl:lncRNA
AUUUUUGUUGGCCAUCAGGGUGCUGCCUGCCCUGCCUCACCCAUGGGGGGACAGCUGACACCUGCAGGCAGGUUAUCUUGAUGGAAACUAAGGCUAAAAGGGCACAACAAAUCAAGGCAAGGAAUUUGCAUGUGUAGCCCACAAUGUAUUUUCUGUAGAGGAUUUGUACUUGUUCAUCUAGUGGUGUUUCUUCAUUUAAGAUCAUCUACAUUCAGCAGGAUGCUGAACAAGAAGUGAUGGCAUCCUUUGCCAACCCUCAGUGUUCUUACAAUACGGUGCAUAGUGAGCAAGACUAUCAUACGUCGCCCUUCUUUGCCUUGAAUUCUCUUCUUUCCAUUUCUGUCUGUCCUUCCCUGUUUUUCUAUCUAUGUGAUUUAGCAAGUAACAAAAUGCCAUGCCCAUUUUCACGCAGCCUGUAGUUCCCCUUCUCAGCCAUAUGCACCCACUGCUCUGCCCUAGUCCUGCCCAGCCCUCCUGGUGCCUGCAUCAUUGCUUGGAAUGAACAGGCAACAUUAUUAUGAGAGUUGAACACAGAAAAAAAAUGUUUUCAAUUAUAAAUGUUCAGAAUUCUACCAAAAAAAAAAAAAAAAAAAAGAAGAGAUCAAACGUUUUUUUAGGUCUUUGACAUCUUUGAAUAUGUGUUAGACAAAGGAAAAGGAAAAGUGCUUCCAGAAACUCAUAAAACCUUUCCUUUCUGGUGGCAGAAUUUGUAAAAUUUGAGUAUCUCCUCUAACCUUAACCUUAGGUGACCCACUAAACUCAGAGAAGUCUUUGCUGGAACAACAGAAGACAUUUGGUGUUUCAGGUGCUGGCUUUUGUGUACCACUAUACUAUUUGCUUGCACAAAGGCACUCCUCUCCAAAGUGAGAUAAAUUGUUUUGUUGCUUCCAUGUGAAGCACAUGAACUGCUCUCCCACCUUCUGACUGACAUUGGAAAGGCAAUGGUCUGCCUUGAACAGCCCUACCUCACCUGCUGGAGCCCUCUGCCCCCGUGCAGAGCUGGGCUGGAGCAGGCACUGGGGCCAACUGCAGUCCACUGAAUGCAGCUGAGAUGGAUCCACCAAUGGAAGAGUUCCUGCAGCACGGAUGGACGCACUCAGGGUACCCACCACCACGAAACACCAUGCAACAGAGUCUUGAGCCUCACUCUAAUAUCAUGCGUGCUGCAUUCAACCGACAUAAAGGCAAACAGAAAGGCUGAAUUUACGCCAGCAAGUCACAGUAAGCCGUGCAUUGGCAAAAUAUUUAAUCGUGCUGAAAUUGGAGGCCGGAUCCUCCCACGUGGCUUUAUUUUGGCAUUGCAAACUGCACAUCUUCGAAAGCUUCUCCGGGAGCAGUGGCAAAACCUUACACUGAGGACUAGUUCUGAUUUGUGGAGGAUAUGGAAGAGAAGUGGGAAGAAAGAAAGCUGCUGCUGUUUGGCGGCUUGUUGUUUGGGGUUUUUUUCUUCUUCGCUUUAGGCAAAUGAAAGGAAUAAGUUCACUUAUGAUUGCUUUCAUGUAAAGAAAAGUUAAUAGAAAUUUUAAUAACAGUAGCAGCUUAGGAGAGUUUGAGGCCAUGACACGUGCAGUGCAAUGGAGGCAGCUCCUGCAGCAGGCUGCAGCUGCCCAUUGCUAUAGCUCUGCUUGGGGCACAGGGGGAGAGCUCCGGGAGAAUUCAGAAGGGUUCAUUCUGCCCUGGUUUUGUGCAGCCCUGCGUGCCCAUUGCAUACACAGAACACCAUGUAGCAGCAGUGUGACCAUUAGUCACUAUGUCAAUGUACAUAAAAAGGAACAGGCUCAGUAAUAUAUAUGAUGAACUUUUACUGAUUGUCGUAUGUGCCCUUCUGAGCUCUUUCCCUCUGGGAUCCACAGCAUCAGCGCUUCCUUCCCUUUCUCUUGGGCAGCAGCAGCAGCAUUUCUGUCCUGCUGGUACUGCAGGCACCAUGGCUGUUUGCUUUUCCUGCCAGGCAGCAAGCCAGCACUGAGGUCAGACUAUUCCCAGGAUGGAUGCAAGGUCCUGGUGUCAGCACUGCUCACAUCAGUGUUGCAUACAUCAGCUCAACUCCUGCAGCCUCCUGUGCCUUCUGAGCCUCCCAUGCAUUGAGGCCACCACCUCCCAUGAGGAUGAAGGGGAGGAAGAGUGGGGUGCAACCAUGCACGCCCCAUUGGCAGAAGCACCUGGGGGUCUUCACUGACCAACACUGUGAAGGGCACUGUUAUUGUGUGUGCACUGUCCUUGUAGACUCACCUCAGCAGUGAUCUCACACCACUGUGCACUUUCCUGGCACACUGACAAUCCCAGUGAGCAGCUGCAGUUCCAUGGUGGCUACAUUAAGAAUGUGACUUCUACAGCCAUCACUGCGGCCAUCAGCAGUGGAUGUCUGCCGUGCAAAGGGACGUGCGUGCCAACAGCAAGCACCUGGGCAUGGAAAGCUGGUUGCUGUUACUGUAAGUGAACCCUUCAGUUUGUAAGUGUGAGGAAACUGGAGAAGUUUAUGAAAGAAGAAAAAGGAUGGGGUACCGGGAGACAAAAGACUCAUCGCCUUGCAGGAAAGGCUUGAAUACAGGAGAAGAGGAGAUGGAUUGGAGCUCGUUUUGAAGGCAGAAGGAGCCAUCCCCAAGUCAGCUUCCUGCACUUCCAGUGACAUUUAUAGAAGUGAACAGAGAUUCCACUGAUUUCACUUUUGACCAUCAGCCUGAACGCGUCCUCCCAACUGGAAAGGCUUUUUUCACCUUGAUGAUCCUUGAGGUCCCUUCCAACCCGAGCCGUUCCAUGAUUCUGUGAUUCACCGACUGCAUCACAUCCAAUAAGGAAUCCCAGUGCAGCGCUGAAGCAACCCUCCUUCAUCUUCAUAUUUUGCUCCAGGAGCCCAAAUUACGGCUGGGUCACCAGGCUGGAUGGCUCUCUGCAAACAUGGAUGCAACAGAGCAAGGCCACAUGCAGAGCCAGCUCCUACAGCGCCUACGGGCUCUCUCCUGGCAUUAAGAAGGUUUGCAACAUGUGAGCUGUGACAGCUGCAGCACAGCAAGCUGUGUGCGGUGAGGGUACAAAAAGAAAUGUCCUCACAGGUCCUGCUCUGCUCGUCCGGAGUCUGCAAAGGGUCAGAGCAGUGCUGCUCCGCAUGGCUUCCAACUUUAUUUCUCCCAUUGCAUAACGCUAGAGAAAUAGCUAAAGACAGCAAAAUGCAUUGCUCCUCUGCUGCUCAGGCUAAUCAUGGCACGUCACCCAAGGAAGGUAUUUUCUUUUCAUAGAAUCGUAGAAUCGCAUAAUGUCCUGGGUUGCAAAGGACCACAAUGCUCAUCCAGUUCCAACCCCCUGCUAUGUGCAGGGUCGCCAACCAGCAGACCAGGCUGCCCAGAGCCACAUCCAGCCUGGCCUUGAAUGCCUGCAGGGAUGGGGCAUCCACAACUUCUUUUUUAAGGACGGAGGAUGUUACCUGACUUCAGUGACUCUGCAUUGCUGGGAGCAGUGAUUCCUGUGCUCAGUACCUGCUCCUGCCCCCUGGAAACCCAUGGGCUGUGCUCCUGCCUGGGACCAGAGUCUGCUCGUGUCACUGCAUGCUGAGUGUCACACUCAGACAGCAGUACAUCUUCUUGCUCCCUGCAACAAAUGCUUUCUUCCUGGUGAGAUGUCUAAAAGGAAAAUGUCUAUUUGCACUAUAUAUAAAAUCUCUAAAAUAGGCAAUUUAUUCAUUUCCCCUUCACUUUUAUUACACCUCAAAGGAGAAAUCUGUUGCACAGUUUCUGUAUUUUAAUCAUCCGUGAAAAAUUCAAUUAAUAUGCAGUUAAUGUCUUGUCACUUUCACUAAUAUUAGGCAAUGGGAUUGAAGGGAUGUAAAGCAUGCACGGCUCACAGAGAUAGUUUGCAGAUUUAUAACGUAUACACUUGAAAUUAGUCCUUGAAAAUAUGCUCUGGGGUGGCCAGGUCCUGUGGUGGGGUCAGUCACAGCAGUGCCCCCAUUCCCAGUGCUGUACCUUCUGCUGCAGAAGCACGUGAGCUAAAACGUGCUGAAUUGUCACUCUCCUUAUUCCUUCCAUAUUCUUCUCAUAAACUUUUUAAAACUCCACUUAAAGCCUAUGUUGUUGAUGGACUUCGAUGGAAUGGAAGUGUUUCAGAUGCACCAGGUAGGUUAAUCUGUCUGAUUAAAUCAUUCUUCAUACUUCAGAUCAAAUACCUUCGGUUGCGCAGUGGUAGUGCUAAGAAGGGCUUCUUGAGUUCUGCUGGGGAGAUGUGAUUCUGCCCCUACGUCUCCCUAAUUGAGGAGCUGUUUUGUGUCCACUAUACGUCACUUCUGUGCAGGUCGUACUGCUCAAGGAACAUCUGAGACACCAAAUAUGCCAUUCCUUUCUUCCCAGAAUGAUUUAAAAGUUACUCUGGGUCCAAAGGAGGGAACAGCAGCUCCUUCCACCCAGCGGCCACUCUCCAUCAGGCAGCACCAGGAGCCAGUCUGUGCCUGGCUGCUGACUCCUGCAGGACUGAUGCUGGGCUCAUAUGCAGUCUCCUGCACACUCUGCAAGCAGCUGUAAGUAAACCUUAAGAGAGAACUGUCAGGCAAACCUGGCAACCCGCUUUGCCCCUUCACCUCCUUUAUAAAAUGGGAAUGAUGGGUGUAUCAUCACCACGCGCACAUGGAGUGGGUUUAUGAGAGCUACAAGUGAGGAUGCUCGCUCUGUAUUUAGAAGGAGCAGGUUAAGUUUUUAUUAUUAUUGAAUUCUUAUGUUUCAGAAUGCUCAGCUCAGAGAGAUUUUUAUUAAACUCAUCUGUCAGAAUAGAAAUACUUCCUGGAGAAGGCUGGAUUGUAAGGGACGUAUUCGAUGAAUGCGCACAUAUUAUGUCCAUAAAUGUUUGUUAGAAAAAUUAUUCCCAACAGAUCUGACAGAGAUAUGAAAAAUUAGAUCACAAAUCUCAUUAACGACAGAGCCACUGAAAGAGGGAUGAAGCCAAUUACUGUCGAUAUUACUUGUCAGAAGAAUGUCAUGGCUCUCGUCUCGAUGCCGGUCACAUAUCUCUCUGUUGAAAUAACUCCGCAGAUGACUCCUUUUCUCCCAUCAGCAGUGAAUGAAAGAAGUUUCCACUUUUCUUAUGCACAUCCUGUUACCUCCGUUAUCCGAGAGAUGCACUGUUAAUGCUGUGAAAAGUCGGGUGACUGCGGGACCGCACUCAUUGACCCCAUGUGCCCCUCCGCUCCCACCUCCUGCUGGCACUUCCGUGCAGUGAGGCAUCAGGCUGCUCUGUCACCAUGACAACUUUGCUUUUCAUGACAAAAGCAGUCUGUCGGUAGGGAUUUGAGCACUCUGUAAACGUGGCUACUGAGCAUCACUCUUUGUCACCGGGAAAAAACAAAAAACCUAAACAAGUACUUUUAACUGGGAAGUAAAAGGAAUGUUCCAUGUGGGGGACCUGUAGUGGCAAUGCUAAGUAACGGCCUGAAGCAGUGAUUGAGCACCUGGUGGGAAGGCAGGGCCAGCCCAGGGGAUCUCAGGUGCAUGUAAUGCAAUGCAAUGCAAUGCAAUGCAAUGCAGCUGAGUGACCAGAAGGGUGGAGUCAGGAUCCUCCCCUUCCCAGGCCUCAUUUAAGGGCUGGCAGUGGAGGUGAAAGCAUCUUGCUUGAGAUCUCUGCUCCCUGGAGGCCUUCUAAAGGUAAGCAGUUUUUCUUCCUUUGUUUUUGCAUCCCUGGCUGGCUGCUGCAUUUGGGCUUGUUCUCGUUUGGUGUAGCCUAGGAUUGUGCCACUCUCCCUUAUUGCUGUGCUUUCUACCACGUUAUAGCAUUACAGUACUGCACUUGGUAUGCCAGCUACUUAUUUAUGUGGAUUACCUUAAAAAAAUCAUGUGCAGGAUGAUUACUGGGACCCUGAAGCAGAAGUUUCAAAAUAUCCUCAAAAAGCAGGGGUGAGAAUUACUGGAGGAAAAAAUAACCGAAACAACAACAACAACGUGGAACCUGGAAAAUUUCCUAGUUCCUAAUAAAAGCAAAAAGCCUCCUGAAUUGACCCAGGCCUCUAUGCCAGAGUCACCUGAGGAAAAGGAAUUGGCGAUUCUCAGCUACUUGCAUGAAAGGGAUGCUAGCCCCUCUGUACCUGGGGCCUCCAGUCCUGCCUGGGGGCCCCUAUAUUAAACUGACUGUGUUUUGGUCCCAAAAGAAUAUAGGGUGAGUUAUGGCACUAGCUGAUGUGGGUGCAGAAAUGUCAAUUAUUUAUGGUGAUCCAACCAAAUUCCAUGGAGAUGAGGUGGUGAUUGGUGGGUUUGGGGCAUAGACCGUGCCUGUAACCCAGACACCGUUAAAGUUGGGUGUCUUCCACACCAGGAGUGUAAGGUGUCUAUUGCCCCAGUUCUGAAGUAUAUAACAGGCACAGACAUGUUAUGGGGUCUGACUCUCCAGAUGACCAUAGGAGAGCUCAGACUGAGAGAGAGAGAUGUAUUAGUUUCCAGGUAGUGCAGGCAAUAUUAAGAGGCCAUGUGAAACGUGAACGUAUUCACUUGCCCAUUCUGUGCUAGAUUACUAGUACUAAACAGUAUAGAUUCCCAGAGGGUCAAGAGGAAAUACUUAGAAUGGUUCAGGAGCUAGAAAAAGUAGGGAUCAUAAGACCUGCAUAUAGCCCAUCCAAUUCCCCCAUAUGGCCAGUGUGGAAGUCAGACAGCACAUGGAGAAUGACAGUGGAUUAUGUAGAACUGAAUAAGGUCACACUGCCCAUUCAUGCAGCUGUACCCAAUAUUGUCUCCCUGGUGGAUACAUUGAGUGCGGAGUUAGAAACCAAAUAGUGUGUCCUAGACUUUGCAAAUGUAUUCCCUUCCCAUCCACAAAGAAUUACAAGUUCAGUUUGCAUUUAUGUGGGGAGGCAGGCAGUGGACCUCUUGGUUCCUGCCGCAAGGGUAUGUGCACUUGCCUACAUAUUGUCAUAACUUAGUGGCGCAUGACCUAGCAGACUGAAAUAAUUCUAAUAACAUCAAGCUGUACCACUAUAUUGAUGAUCUCAUGCUGACAUCAGACUCACUGAAGGCAUUAGGAAAGGCAGCAGUCUUACUGGCUACCUAUCUACAAAAAAAAAAAGGGUGGGCUAUAAACCCACAGAAGUUGUAAAGACCAGGCUUGUAGGCCAUUCCUGAAGAUGCCUGAUAUAUGGAAGAUAUGCCCUGACCUGCAUCAACACAGCAAAUGGGCUAUUGCAGGGCUAUCCAGUGCCAAAGCAAACCAGGGAUAUGCCAUUAAGGUGCUUACCAAGAUGAUGGCUGCCUACGGAACACUUCGAGUCCCUUGGUCACUCUCGAUGACUUAUUUCACUGGUGCAGUGGUACAGUGCUGGACAGAAGAAAACAACAUUGAGUGGUGAUUCCAUCUGCCAUACAAUCUGGUGGGGACAGGCCUUAUUGAAUGCUAUAAUGGUAUUCUGAAGACUGCCCUGAAGACAGACUCUCAGUCCCUGCAGGGGUGGACAAAGACUCUAUGAAGCCCUGCAGAACCUGAAUGAAAGGCCUAGAGAUGGCAGACCCAAUGCCCUAAAGAUGCUGCAGGCAACAUGGGCUUCCCUGCUAAGGAUCCAAAUUAUGGGCACCGAUAAUCAGAGCACAGCAGAAGAUAAUCACAAGGAUGCCAGGACGUAUUCUAAGUGGAGAAACAUUGGCAGUGGAUGUCACUGGAGCAAGAUCCUGGAGACUGUGGAGACUUCUGGGAAGGAAGGAGGUUGUGAGCAUCGCUAUCACGGCUGAGCAGCCGGCUGCUCCAAGGGGUUAGUAUAAGUAAAAUAAAAGAGGCGGGGAGAACAAUGACUGCAUGUGUUCUCCUAUCUAGCAAUGCAUUGUCAGUGCAACAACGUUAAUUUUUAAAUGGGUUAUUUACAUUGCACAAUGAAGUAAAUGUACCUCAUGUUCUUAUUCUGACUCUUAAUCCCAAGGCCUGUGGCUCCUUAAGUCUCAUUUGUUUAUCACCUCAAUGUUACAGUCUGGAUUUUAGCAGUGAUCGGACUGAAGUUACCCUCAGGCUUUUAUUCCCACAAUCCCAGAAGCUCUCUUCAAACAGAUCUUUAUUUGUUGAAGUGUAUUUAUUAUCCACUUGAACUUCUUUGAGCAGAUCGUAUUGAAAAUGAGAACUGCACGAGGCUGUUCCUACUGCUUGCAGCUCAACAUGCACUGAAAUGGUUAAAUUCAGCACUUCAUUUUUGCAAAUGCUCUCUCAAAUUAUUUUGGCUUUCGUGAAAUUUUCUUCCCUCCGGCUUCAUUUGCUGGCAUAUCUAAAAACACUUACACACGCAUAACUGAAAUCCAACACAUCGAUGGCUAUUAACCUGUUGGAUGUUACCUAAUGAGCCCAUAUGUUGUACUGUCAUUCAUUUACUGUGACAGAAGGAUGACAUGGAAAUGCUGACAUGUAUCUCUGUUGUUUAAUGCAGACACAGCGUAACUCAUUAUUUUGUGCAGCAAACUGAAGUCUCUAAUGCCUGCAAAACUGAAAGGGUGCUACAGUAACUGCUUGUCAGAAACAGAACAAAAUCUGCCUUUCCUGUGCGCAUAUAAAAAUACAGGUGACUCUACAAGCAGCUCAAUUUGUCACUCAGCCCCAUCCAGGGCUUUUCAAAGUGAGCUUUUAAUUCUCUGUGGCUGCCUAACAGAAAUCCCACCACGUCUGUGUGAACUGAAAGAACCGCACGUUUCUCUAACUGUGACCCCAAAUAGGUAUUAAUGCAGCUGUUACAUCCCAAAUACUUCUCUAACAGUUCUCAGAUUGUUCUCCCCAUUCAGUUACAGCAGUCUGGAUGGAAAUAGAGAAGAAAACAAGUGCUAACCUCGUAGAGCAGUUGUGGAUGGGUGAGUAGCAGCCCAGGGGCAGCAUUUGCUUUAGGUCCUCCUCAUGGAAUUAGGGUCAUUACUGUGAUUUACUAAGAAACAUAUGUGCAAGUAUGCACUGAAACUGCAGAAAAUAGAAUUUUAGAAGCUUAUUCAGCAGUGGAUUUCAGCAUACAGAUGCUGGAUAUAAUAUACUCGCACUAAAUUGGAUUCUGGGUGAAUAAAGGAGCUGCUCUUAAAUUCAGCUUGGAGCCCUGCUCAGCACUCAGUUUGAAAUACACAGCCUUUUUGUUUCGCUUUUGCAACUUAUUCAAUAAAUAUUUUGGCAUGCCUGUCUGUUACACUGCCUUAAUCUUCUCUUCAACUGAGCAGAAAUUAGCAUUUGUAAUUUAUUCGCCAAGGGAAACUAAAAAGGCUUUGCACCAGGGUGAAAUUGAAUGCCCAACAGAUAACCAGAAUGCUGAGUCAGCACAAUGUGCAUUUGACAAAUAUGCCCUUUGCCUGCAGCUAACUUAAUGGACCACAUGGCAAAGAGUGGGGGGCAAGCGUUUAAGCUUUUAUCUGUGACUUGCUGGAAUGAUGCAGGGCUGUGGUGGCUCACAGUGCAGUGCCAUCAUCCCCUCUUCAUGGCCCGUGACCACUGGCCAUGCCAUUCAAGUCCCUUUUUCAUUUGAAGCAAAUCACAAGAUGCCCAUUUUGUAUAAUAAAUAGCAGAUAGACCAGUGUUUCAGUUAUCUUACUGAGAAACAAAGUCUGUAAUCAGCUCGAUUUCCUUUUUUUCCCCUCAAUCCAACCCCAUGCAGGUUUAAAUAAAUUAACCCUAAAAAAAGCAACCCAAAUACCCACUCAAUAGAUUUCAGUGACUAGACAGCAGGUUCACCCUUGGGAUGAUUUGUAUAGCUCAUUAUUAGAAUCACAGAACCAUUCAGGCUGGAAAAGCCCUCUGUGACCCCCACCCCCCCCCCGUGCCCACUGCCCACCCCUCAGUGCCACAUCCCCGCGGCUCUGAACACCUCCAUGGACGGGGACUGCCCACCCCUGGGCAGCUGUGCCAGUGCCUGGCUGCUCUCUGGAGCAGACAUUGCUCUGAGAGCCAACCUGACCCUCCCUGUACAGUCUGAGGCCAUUCCCCUCUCAUCUUAUUGCUGGGGCAGAGUCCAACCCCCACUUCACUACAUGCUUCUUUCAGGGAGUUGAAGUCACAUCCUGGAGUCGAUAAGGAGCAGUUUGAGCCAUGCCCUUGGCCCCUCUCCUUACAUAAGAGAUGAAUUUUUGGCACAGAGUGCUGUUUUGGUUGCACCUGUUUCUUAUUUGGUCUCAUGAAUCAUUUGGGGCAUUGUUAUGAGGCAGGCCAAUAAGACAGACAUAUGCCAAUUAGGGCUGUUCUGAGAAGCAGUCACAAUGCAUGUGGUUUAUGAGUGCUAAUGUCAUUGAUUUCUGCCUUUUCAAUGAGCUAGCCAGCACUCUGCAUAGAGAAUUUAUAAUCAGAAACAUCCCUCCGUAUUGGCACAUGGAUAGGGCCUGACUUUUAUUGCAGCAGCGUUUGAUCGAUGCAGCGAUAUGCCGUGUGGGGUGGUGAGCAAUGGGUCUCAUUCUGCCAUACGUGGAGCAGGAGGCACUCCCAGCACAACAGCAGAAUACCGGCGUACUUCAAUGCACAGUUACCUGCUUGCUGGAGAAGGGAGGCAUGAAGCUGUUCUCCCCUCGUGUCCCACUUGCACACACUCCCGUUUGCAGCACAGUCACAGAGCAGCCAAUGCUUGCUGAAAAACAAAGUAAGAAAAAGGAGUGCAAAAUGUACAACUAUUACUCUGCAUAAGAAAAUUAAGGAAAGAGAAACCAGCAUAGAUUGACAGUGUGGGGGGGGGCAGAUGAGUACUUACUUUUUCCAGGACGAAUUGCUUUGGUUUUUUUCUUCCUUUUUAGUUUGUUAUAACCAUAACUUUAUUUAAAUGUCGCUUUUCUUUCCAGCGUGGUUGUGGUAAUUUCUUAGAGAACAUAUUUUAAUGGCCUGGCUGUACGCACAGGAUUUCUGUUUGCUUCUGUAAUUGCUUCUUAAUUAUUUUCCAAUUGCUGAAACAACAGUUUCCACAGUUUAUUAAAAAGCAUUUUUGAAAGCUUUACCCGAAGGCAUUGUCAACAUUUUAUUACUAUCACUAACAGCCAGCACAAAUGAAUAAUCACCAGCCCUGGUAGCUCGUGUCAAGCAGUAGAGAGCUGUCAGAGCCUUAUGUAGAAAUUAGGGUGAUGUAGGAAUUGGGAUGCAUUCACUGUGCUUCCAGGUUGGAGCAGCCCCAUUCCCACCAUGGGAAUGGAUUAACUUUAACCCCAAUGGCAUCUCUCUUUUAGGUGUGAUGUCACUAACAGAGAUAACAUCACUGCGUUUGGAAGGAGAAAUACUCUCAGAAAUCUUAAAAAUAACAUUACAGCAACUUUCUUUUGUUGUUUAAGCCACUUUUGCCCCCACACAUAUAUUGUAGGGAAAAACUGGCCUGAUCCGUGUGGUUAUAACAACCGAUUGUAGGUUGUUAUAUGUAUUGUUAUAUGUACAACCUCUAUGUAUUGUAUAACAACCUACAAUCGGUUGUUAUAACCAGCACUGGGUAGCCUCAGUAGCAGCAGCCUGCUCCCCUAGCCAUGUGCAGAGGUGCCCUUCCUGCAGAACUUUGCCAAGGAUGGAACCAAGAUUUACUGUCAGAGCAGUGAGCUGCUGCCCAACACAGUACCGCAUCCCCCCCAACCCCAUCACUGCCCCCCCAUGCCACCUCUACCUACCAGUAAUUCAUGCCAUCUCCUCGGAGGACAGAAGUCGUCAGUUCCCACGUCUUCUCAAACUUAAGUAUUCAAAAUACCUAGAAAUUAGUCAGAAGUUUUAGGACAAAGGGUUCAGGGUGGGAAUUUGCAGGAUAAAGGACAGGUUUACCAAAUCUCCCACUGCUUAAAACAAAAGAAAAGUGGAAAACUUCAAGAUGUGCCUAUCACAAAAUAUUUCUUUCAAACAAAAAUAAAGAAAAGAGGGAUCAAAGUUGGUAAUUGGCAUUCUUUUCAUUCCAAUUUGCUGCUAUUUUCAAGCUCCUAAUUUCUCCUCUAUUGUUGAAUAGGAUCGUUUUGCUUUCCGAACCACCCUCCCCCCCCAGCAGCCCUGAGCACACACAGCCCUCCUUCUGCCUCCAGGCUGUGGUGCAGCUACAUCUCACUUCAGAGCAUCCUCCCCCUUUCAGCCAGCACCCACAGUUUCUGCCUGCUGAUUCAAGGGCUGGGAAAGAGAAAACCCACUUGAACUCCUGGGGGCUGGAGCAGCACGAAGGAAAACUGCUGAGAGCAUCCCAUGCCUGGACUCUGCCUGCAGUCCCACAGCCACCUGCCCACACCCCAUACCUCAGACCCCAGGCAGGGGAUCCAACCACCCCCAGCACAGCCCACAGGGAUGAAGGAAACCAGGCAGCUGCAAAGAAACCUUCGUGCAGAUGGUGACAAGACAGAAGAUCACAGAGCUCCAAGAUAAAAUACAUCAGUCACACAGCUGAAGUGAUUGAAUUUACACAUGUUCUCCUCUGUGCAUGAGGAGAACAGAGGUGUUCUUAUUGCUCAGGAGAGAGGAAAAAACAAUUCUAAUACUUCCAGUAUUAAUUUUAAUAUUAAUCUGUUGCCCAUAAUAACUUGUAAAAUACAGAGAUCUCAGCUGAGCUUAAGGGAACUGGCUUAUGAAUGUGCAUGUAGAGCGUAGCUUAUGAAAAGUUAAGGUUACAUUGCUACAAUUUUCAGAUUAAAAAAGCCUGGAAUUUAAUUACUAUCAACAGCUGACCAAUGUUCCCAGAUGACUUUUUACCUUUAAGCAGUUUUGGUUUGGAUUUUCUCAACUCACUUCACCACCCAUGAGGUUCCAUUGAGGAAGUCAGAGCAAUGGUAGCUUGCAAGGCAGCUCCAGGUCAGAAGGAAGAACUCCAGCAUACAUCCCAGCUUCUAAAGCAGAGCCCAGCAUAUCUUCUUGUAAUGAUUCUCCCACCUACAUCUUUGGGCCGGAUCCUAUCAGCCUCUGGAAGUAAAACAUUGGAUAAACAAAGAAUGUUUGCAGUCGUUCGCCUAAUCUAAAUAUUUCUAUUAAAAACUACAAGACCAUACUUACUUGUAUACAUCAGAAUAAGGCAUGCAUGGCACCUAGCAGAGGCUGCAUGCUCAGUCUCCCCCCCAGGUACCACUCAGCACAAGGUGGCUGCUCACCGUCCGUCGAGCACAGGUACUAAACGUGUCUGCACAGCUGGUGAUGCAGGGGCAGCAAACUGCUUUUCAGCACUUGCAGAAGACUUGUGGUCACCUAGGAUACAAACAAAAAAAG